rnacentral:tRNA from 7 species
GCCCCGGUGGCACAGCUGGAUAGCGCGGCCCCCUCCUAAGGGGCAGGUCGCAGGUUCGAAUCCUGCCCGGGGCACCA